rnacentral:tRNA from 1 species
CAGGGAGACAACAAAAUGUUUAAUAUUAUUAUUUUGUCACCUUAGGUCGAUCGGUAUCUCACGUUCUUAAUUUAUUAAGAAUUUCAUUUCCUAAGUUUUUCUAGGUCACACCCAUUAUUUUUCCUGGGCCAUUAGCUCAGGUGGUUAGAGCGCACCCCUGAUAAGGGUGAGGUCCCUGGUUCAAGUCCAGGAUGGCCCAUAUCUCUAUGUUGGGGGUAUAGCUCAGUUGGUAGAGCGCCUGCUUUGCAAGCAGGAUGUCAGCGGUUCGAGUCCGCUUACCUCCACUGAUUACCACCUCUUCCAUAAUCGGUAGAAAGGAAAUGUUUUGAGUUGUGAUCAAAUUCUGAACGAAUCUAGCUUCCUAAUGUAAUUAUUAAGAUGCUGGACUCAUUGAAUUAUUUUCAUUGUUUUCAGAGAACCUUGACAACUGCAUAGAUUAUUUUUAAAGACAAUAAGCAUCUUUAAUGAUGCAGAUUUAUUAUUUUUGCUAAUGCAUUAAUAACAAUUCUAUUAAGCUGAUGCUUCAAUUAUUGAAGUUAUU